rnacentral:misc_RNA from 1 species
GAUGAAGAACGCAGCGAAAUGCGAUACGUAAUGUGAAUUGCAGAAUUCAGUGAAUCAUCGAAUCUUUGAACGCAUAUUGCGCUCUCUGGUAUUCCGGAGAGCAUGCUUGUUUGAGUAUCAGUAAACACCUCAACUUCCAUAUCUUUUUUGAAAUGGGAGUUGGACUUGAGUAAUCCCAACGCUUUUCCUCACCGAAAAGUGGCGGGUUACUUGAAAUGCAGGUGCAGCUGGACUUUUCUCUGAGCUAUAAGCAUAUCUAUUUAGUCUGCCUAAAAAACAGAUUAUUACCUUUGCUGCAGCUAACAUAAAGGAGAUUAGUUCUUGUGCUGACUGAUGCAGGAUUCACAAAGACGGCUUCGGCCGACUUUGUAAACUCGAUCUCAAAUCAAGUAAGACUACCCGCUGAACUUAAGCAUAUCAAUAAGCGGAGGA